rnacentral:rRNA from 1 species
GAUGAACGCUGGCGGCGUGCCUAAUACAUGCAAGUCGAGCGAACAGACGAGGAGCUUGCUCCUCUGACGUUAGCGGCGGACGGGUGAGUAACACGUGGGUAACCUACCUAUAAGACUGGGAUAACUUCGGGAAACCGGAGCUAAUACCGGAUAAUAUAUUGAACCGCAUGGUACAAUAGUGAAAGACGGUUUUGCUGUCACUUAUAGAUGGAUCCGCGCCGCAGUAGCUAGUUGGUAAGGUAACGGCUUACCAAGGCGACCAUGCGUAGCCGACCUGAGAGGGUGAUCGGCCACACUGGAACUGAGACACGGUCCAGACUCCUACGGGAGGCAGCAGUAGGGAAUCUUCCGCAAUGGGCGAAAGCCUGACGGAGCAACGCCGCGUGAGUGAUGAAGGUCUUCGGAUCGUAAAACUCUGUAAUUAGGGAAGAACAAAUGUGUAAGUAACUAUGCACGUCUUGACGGUACCUAAUCAGAAAGCCACGGCUAACUACGUG